rnacentral:lncRNA from 1 species
AAAAUUAGUUACAAACCAACUGGAUAGGUGGAAAUUUGAAGAGACAUUGACUAUAUUUCUGUUUCCUACAGGUCAUCAGAUUAUGGGACUUCAUACAUCAAACUCAAUUUACAGCCUGGCAUCACCACAGUGAUUGACAACUUCUACAUAUGCCCUACAAACAAGAGAAAGUUUCAGAUGCAGACAGUUCUCUGAUAAUUCACCUGCCUUCUGUUUUGGGAACGAGACCUGGAGGUCCAAAAAUGGGCAGAAAUUCCCUUUCACAGUUCACUAGCCCAAUAAAGCCCUGCAGGUCCAUUUUCUAUAUCUGUUUGAGGAAGUUUGGGAAAGAAAAGCCACCACCCUACUCCCUAUGACUCUACCAUCUUGGCUCUGCUUCUUUCCAUGAACUCCUAGUCUGCUCUCCCUAAUUGGCCACAAACUCAUCUAUAAGGGUUCAUCUAUGUUCAGGAGAUCAUAAAAAGGAUGAUCUCAAUGGAUUAUGAAUGAGAAGGCACAUUAGAGAAUACUUUCUUAAUCAAUUCAACACUAUGGAAUGGCUACACAUGAGAAAGGUUUGUUUAAAUUUUUUGAAUGUUGUAAGACUGAAAAAAAAAAAAGACAUUCCAGAGGAUUAAACAAUCAGGAUCCAUGUCUUGGCUCUGUUCCUAGUGACCUUGAGCAAGUCCUUCACUUGUAUGAACCAUAGGUUUCUUAUUUGCCAAAGUUAUUAAUGUUUGCCCUAUCUACAUCAAAGGACUAUUUUAAGUGAAUUUCUUUGCAGAUUUUAAGUGCUAUCAAUUAUGUGGUCAUAUAAUUUUAGGAUAACUUUAUGGCUGUAAGAGGCCUCAGAGAUGAUCUCCCAUAAGUCCCUUAUAUUAAAAAUGAGUGUAGACAGGAUUUGCUAUAAGGUCAGACAGCUGGUGAAGAGCAGUAUAUGCAUUUGAACUCAGGAUCUCUCCCUUGGAAUUUAGCACUCUCUCCACUGUACCUUGGUGUUUCUGAAUUAUUAUUCUAAAGAGCAACCAAAAAUGAAGUAAAGGAAGACAUUCUCUUUUUUUUCUUUUUGCUGGAAUUACUUCUAUACUUCUCCCUCUAACCCCUACCACUUAAAAUAAUUAAAAUCAUUUUUAGAGGGCCACUCAUUAUUCACCCUUUUUCCUUUUAGUUACAAACAAAACAUGAGGAUAAAAUCCAUCUUAAGCCACCUGGUCUCUCCUUAUGGGCUCCAGAAGCAACUGAAUAUUUUAAGCCCCAAAGAAGACUCUCUCACAAUCCAACUUCCUUAGCCAACUUCCUCUGGCUAAGAAAUGCCUUUGUUUUGAAAGUCUUCCAAGUUCUUCCACCUUCAGUGAGUGUGUGGUUUGGCUGGUCUAG